CAAAGUAUCUUCUGCCCACUGAUAUCAUUAAAUGGCCGCAGUACCCUGACUGUGCUAAGGUAGCGAGUGUCUUGUUUUCUUAAUUAGAAAUCUGUUCAAAGAAUGAAAUGAAGAGAAUCUAUUGUUUCUAUAUAAAGUUAACUUAAAAUGUUAGUGAAAAUUCUGACUAGUUCUUAAAAGACGAGAAGACCCCAUAAAACUUAAUUUGAUCUCUUUACCAAGUGUUUAAAAUUUAAAUGGGGACUUUCGAGUAUACUAAUAACUCAAAGACCUAUAUUUAUAUUAUUAGCGAAGCUACUUUGGGGAUAACCAGGGUAAAAUAUUUAGAGAGUUCAUAUCGAUA
rnacentral:rRNA from 1 species